rnacentral:tRNA from 1 species
UGGCCCGUGGCGGAGUGGUUAAACGCAUAUCCGUAUUAAGGAGACUGUCGCAGGUUCGAAUCCCGUCUGGUUGG